rnacentral:lncRNA from 11 species
UGUGUAUAUAUAUAUCUAUAUAUAUAUAUCUAUAUAUAUCUAGGGAUUUGUAGUUUGUUAAGUCACCAAUCUCCUUUGGUAGAGUCUAGUAAUAAUAGUAAUAAUAAUAGUGAUAAUAAUGUUAUUAAUGAGUUGUUGUGUGUUUUCCAAGCUGUAUGGCCAUGUUCCAGAAGCAUUCUCUCCUGACGUUUCACCCACAUUGAUGGCAGGCAUCCUCAGAGGCUGUGAGGAAUCUGUGUUCUUUCGGAAGGCUUCUCAGCAGGACGGCGGCUUUUCAUUGCAUUGAGUGUUCAAGUAAAAGCGGUAUUUUCCGUCAUAAGUUUUGAGGUCUCUGAAGCAAAGAACGGCAGCUUUGUCACAUUCGCAGAUCUGCUUUUCACACGAACUUCCUUCACCUAAGAGAGGAAUAUUGCAUUUAUUGCCAUUGCAUGGUAAACAUAUUAUUAGUAGUAUUUAUUAUUAUGAUUGUUACUAUGUUAUUACUUUAUAUUGUUUGUAUAUGUAUAUAAUUAAUAUAUUUUUAUUAAUAUAGCUAUACUACCCUGUUUCCCCGAAAAUAAGAUAUCCCCUGAAAUUAAGACCUAGCAAAGAUUUUGUUUGGAAGCAUGCCCGCCGAACAGAACACCACUGGGCUGUGGCGCAGGCUGGAGAGCAAGCCAGCUGAAACCAGCUGCAAUGAAUCACUCUGACCAGGAGGUCAUGAGUUCGAGGCCCGCUCGGAGCCUAUGUUUGUCUUGUCUUUGUUCUAUGUUAAAAGGCAUUGAAUGUUUGCCUAUAUGUGUAAUGUGAUCCGCCCUGAGUCCCCUUCGGGGUGAGAAUGGCGGAAUAUAAAUGCUGUAAAUAAAUAAUAAAUAAUAACAUGCAGGAUCGGUACAUUUAUGUACCAUAGAUUAUUGUACAUGGAAAUAAUGGUAGUAACAAGAAAUUCUUGUUUGUGAUGACAACUACUAUACAGUAUAUAAUAAAAGUUCAUUUUUUUA